UAGGGAAUAUUGGGCAAUGGGGGGCAACCCUGACCCAGCAACGCCGCGUGAGGGAAGAAGGUUCUCUGGAUUGUAAACCUCUUUAGCCGGGGAGCAACGUGCGCCACGCGUGGCGCAGUGAGAGUACCCGGAGAAUAAGCAUCGGCUAACUCCGUGCCAGCAGCCGCGGUAAUACGGAGGAUACGAGCGUUAUCCGGAUUUAUUGGGUUUAAAGGGUGCGCAGGCGGCGCGAAAAGUCAGCGGUCAAAGUUCCGGGCUCAACCCGGUGACGCCGUUGAAACUUUCGUGCUGGAGUUCGUGCGAGGGAGGCGGAAUGCGUUGUGUAGCGGUGAAAUGCAUAGAUAUGACGCAGAACCCCGAUUGCGAAGGCAGCUUUCCAGCACGCGACUGACGCUGAGGCACGAAAGCGUGGGGAGCGAACAGGAUUAGAUACCCUGGUAGU
rnacentral:rRNA from 1 species